rnacentral:rRNA from 1 species
CCUACGGGAGGCAGCAGUAGGGAAUAUUGCUCAAUGGGGGAAACCCUGAAGCAGCAACGCCGCGUGGAGGAUGAAGGUUUUCGGAUUGUAAACUCCUUUUGUUAGAGAAGAUAAUGACGGUAUCUAACGAAUAAGCACCGGCUAACUCCGUGCCAGCAGCCGCGGUAAUACGGAGGGUGCAAGCGUUACUCGGAAUCACUGGGCGUAAAGAGCGCGUAGGCGGGAUGGCAAGUCAGAUGUGAAAUCCUAUGGCUUAACGAUGGAACUGCAGUUGAAACUGUUAAUCUAGAGUAGGUGAGAGGAAAGUGGGAUUCAAGGUGUAGGAGUGAAAGCAGUAGAUAUCAGGAGGAA